rnacentral:rRNA from 1 species
CAGCCGCCGCGGGAAUACGAAGGGUGCAAGCGUUAAUCGGAAUUACUGGGCGUAAAGCGUGCGUAGGCGGUUUGUUAAGUCUGCUGUGAAAUCCCCGGGCUUAACCUGGGAACUGCAUUUGUGACUGGCGGGCUAGAGUAUGGCAGAGGGGGGUGGAAUUCCGCGUGUAGCAGUGAAAUGCGUAGAUAUGCGGAGGAACACCGAUGGCGAAGGCAAUCCCCUGGACCUGUACUGACGCUCAUGCACGAAAGCGUGGGGAGCAAACAGGAUUAGAUACCCGGGUAGUCCCUGUCUCUUAUAC